GGGUCUGUAGCUCAAUGGUUAGAGCCAGCGGCUCAUAACCGCUUGGUUGGGGGUUCGAGUCCCUCCAGACCCACCA
rnacentral:tRNA from 2 species